GCCUCCUCCUCUCCGCCCGGCGCCUGGUCCUGGCGCGGUUGCCGAACGGUCCCUCUCGACGCCUCCCGGACCAAGUGCUUGUGUGACCGGCUCUCCGCCUUCGCCAUCUUAGCCCAGCUCAGUCCCGACAUGAACAUGGAAAAGGUGCUGGUCCCUUCUGUCACGUUAAUUGUAGGCUGUGGAGUAUCUUCGCUGACACUUUUGCUGUUGAUUAUCAUUUAUGUCUCUGUUUGGAGGUAUAUUCGCUCAGAGCGCUCUGUCAUUCUUAUCAACUUCUGCUUAUCCAUCAUCUCCUCCAACGCUCUCAUCCUGAUCGGACAGACCCAGACCCGGAAUAAGGUAGGCGAUCGG